rnacentral:rRNA from 1 species
CUACAGAGGGUGCGAGCGUUAAUCGGAAUUACUGGGCGUAAAGCGCGCGUAGGCGGCUACGUCAGUCGGGUGUGAAAGCCUCGGGCUUAACCUGGGAAUUGCAUUCGAAACUGCGUGGCUAGAGUCUGAUAGAGGGAAGUGGAAUUUCCGGUGUAGCGGUGAAAUGCGUAGAUAUCGGAAGGAACAUCAGUGGCGAAGGCGGCUUCCUGGAUCAAGACUGACGCUCAGGUGCGAAAGCGUGGGGAGCAAACAGGAUUAGAAACCCCAGUAGUCC